rnacentral:rRNA from 1 species
UCCCAAGGGUCCGGCUGUUCGCCGGUUAAAAGGGUACGCGAGCUGGGUUUAGAACGUCGUGAGACAGUAAAAUGACCGUUGCUGUCUAAAAAUCUGGCUAAUUGCUGGAAAAUCUGAGUAUCCCGUAUUACUACUUGACGAUUUAGUCUCUAUAUGAGAUCAUAAUCUAAAGGAGUGAAAAUAUAUGGGUGCAGACAAUCAGCAGGAAAGGCCUUAAGCACGAAGAUGCACGAAUAAAAUAACGAAUACACACUAAUUUAUUUGUGUUAAUUCGAUAAAAAUUCGUGAUAAUUUGUGCUCAAGGAAUCUUCAGAGACUAUACGCCAGACUCUCCAAAAGGAGAAGAAGAUAUAGUCCGAACUGUAUAGCGAUAUGCAGAGACGGACAGAAAUGUGCCGUCCACCUAAGAUGUUUUACGGCUUAGGGAGUAACAGAAUUGUCGGUCUCUAUCUGAUGUGGGUGUAAGGAUACUUGAAGAGGAGCUCCCUAUAGUACGAGAGGACCUGGGGAGACGAACCUCUGGUGUUUCAGUUGUCCUGCCAAGGGCAGAAGCUGAGUAGCCAUGUUCGGAAGGGAUAAGCGCUGAAAGCAUCUAAGUGCCAAGCCCCCCUCGAAAAUAGGUAUCCCUGUCCGCAAGGACUGAAGGCUGGUCGUAGACUACGACCUUGAUAGGCGCAGGGUGUAAGAUCCGUAAGGAUUUCAGCUGAUGCGUACUAAUAGCCAAUCGGCUUGACCUUAUAUA